UACGUAGGUGGCAAGCGUUGUCCGGAUUUACUGGGCGUGAAGAGCGCGCAGGCGGUCGUUCAAGUCGAGUGUGAAAGCCCCCGGCUCAACUGGGGAGGGUCACUCGAUACUGAUCGACUCGAAGGCAGGAGAGGGAAGUGGAAUUCCCGGUGUAGUGGUGAAAUGCGUAGAUAUCGGGAGGAACACCAGUGGCGAAGGCGACUUCCUGGCCUGUUCUUGACGCUGAGGCGCGAAAGCUAGGGGAGCAAACGGG
rnacentral:rRNA from 1 species